rnacentral:rRNA from 1 species
CAGCAGCCGCGGUAAUACGUAGGGUGCGAGCGUUAAUCGGAAUUACUGGGCGUAAAGCGGGCGCAGACGGUUACUUAAGCAGGAUGUGAAAUCCCCGGGCUCAACCUGGGAACUGCGUUCUGAACUGGGUGACUAGAGUGUGUCAGAGGGAGGUAGAAUUCCACGUGUAGCAGUGAAAUGCGUAGAGAUGUGGAGGAAUACCGAUGGCGAAGGCAGCCUCCUGGGAUAACACUGACGUUCAUGCCCGAAAGCGUGGGUAGCAAACAGGAUUAGAUACCCUGGUAGUCCACGCCCUAAACGAUGUCGAUUUGCUGUUGGGCAGCAUGACUGCUUAGUAGCGAAGCUAACGCGUGAAAUCGACCGCCUGGGGAGUACGGUCGCAAGAUUAAAACUCAAAGGAAUUGACGGGGACCCGCACAAGCGGUGGAUGAUGUGGAUUAAUUCGAUGCAACGCGAAGAACCUUACCUGGUCUUGACAUGUACGGAACCCUCCAGAGACGGAGGGGUGCCUUCGGGAGCCGUAACACAGGUGCUGCAUGGCUGUCGUCAGCUCGUGUCGUGAGAUGUUGGGUUAAGUCCCGCAACGAGCGCAACCCUUGUCAUUAGUUGCCAUCAUUAGGUUGGGCACUCUAAUGAGACUGCCGGUGACAAGCCGGAGGAAGGUGGGGAUGACGUCAAGUCCUCAUGGCCCUUAUGACCAGGGCUUCACACGUCAUACAAUGGUCGGUACAGAGGGUAGCCAAGCCGCGAGGUGGAGCCAAUCUCACAAAACCGAUCGUAGUCCGGAUUGCACUCUGCAACUCGAGUGCAUGAAGUCGGAAUCGCUAGUAAUCGCAGGUCAGCAUACUGCGGUGAAUACGUUCCCGGGUCUUGUACACACCGCCCGUCACACCAUGGGAGUGGGGGAUACCAGAAGUAGGUAGGGUAACCGCAAGGAGCCCGCUUACCACGGUAUGCUUCAUGACUGGGGUGAAGUCGUAACAAGGUAGCCGU